rnacentral:rRNA from 1 species
GUCCACGCCCUAAACGAUGCGAACUGGAUGUUGGUCUCAACUCGGAGAUCAGUGUCGAAGCUAACGCGUUAAGUUCGCCGCCUGGGGAGUACGGUCGCAAGACUGAAACUCAAAGGAAUUGACGGGGGCCCCGCACAAGCGGUGGAGUAUGUGGUUUAAUUCGAUGCAACGCGAAGAACCUUACCUGGCCUUGACAUGUCUGGAAUUCUGCAGAGAUGCGGAAGUGCCUUCGGGAACCAGAACACAGGUGCUGCAUGGCUGUCGU